UUACAGAUUCCCAAACUGACGCUGCACCAAACUUCGACACAAGAGAGGGUCUACAAACCAGAAGUUAAGGUACGCACGAUGUGAUUCUGUGCGUAUAAGAAAAUCCACUGACUGAUGGGAGGUUAUUGGAUGCAAGGCAGCCAACUUGUAGAAGGAAAUGACGUCUCAAAGUAAAGUAAAAGAAGAGAUGAAGCACGCAGAGAGUAGCGAAAGGAAGGAAGUGGAGUGUACUGAAUAAAGGACAAGAGAAUACCUAAUGAGCUGUUGUACGUGCAAGAUUUUUGUUUCGAUAAAUGUGAAAUUGCGUUACAAAUAAUGCUUAUAGUCCAAAAGAACUUAAAAUAACUUUGAUAUAGUUUUGAAUAUAAAACAAGUUUAUUACAGCAUUUAUAAUUAAAUUUAAUUCAAAACGUCUUUGCGCAGGAAGGAUAUACCAGUAGUUUCACCGAUGUUAAACAUCGUACCAUUUUCAAAACAACGUUUACGGUCAAGAAUGUUAUUAAUACUGAGAUAUAUUUUUAAAUCUUACCACCGAUAUUAUUAACAGACAUGCAUUUAACAGCAGAAAGGUAAAGCUGAUCCCUGCGGAACUCCAGACUUUACGAUGUCAGAAAAAGAAGUCAGGUAACUGUGAAGUCAAUUGACAUAACCGGAGGAAAGUAUGAACCUAAUAUGUUACUAAGAGAAAGACUAUGGGAGAUAAUAUUAAAAGAAAACGUAAAUCAGAAUACAUGGAAUCAGUUGUCUUUGUAAAAUCACAGAAAACAGAGCACUUAAAGAUAACUAACCAAAUUGUUUGCGGAAGCCAUGCUGAGACGGAUUAAAUAUUCACUUAAAACAAUGUGAAAAGUUUAAAUAAUAAAUAUACCGCUUCUAUCCUUUUGAAUGCUGAACAAAGAGCUGUCUGUUUCAACAAGGAAGGAAAGAUUUUACCUGCCAUGAUACGGUUAAAAUUACAUGUAAUCAAUGGAAUAAAGAUGUCAGGACAACCUUUAAUAAUAAAUGAUGGAGUACCAUCUGAAGCGACAGUCGGACGGUUCGUAGUUCUGCUGACUGCAGCGAGGGAGGGAGAGAAUUUGGCAGAAAAACUGUCCUGACAGAAUGAGGCAGAGUAGCAGUCGAACGAGGUGUUUUAAAGUGGGUUUUAGACGAUUAGCAAAGGCACCAGCAAUAUUUUUGUGCUUUGUAAUAAAUUACUCAACAAUUUUAUAUUCAAUGAAAAUUAAAUUAUUCUCUUUAAGAUUAGAAAAAUAUUUCAAAAUCGAUUUGGCUGAGAUUAGAAUUAAGAUCAACAAAAAUGAAUCAUUGCUCCCUUUCUGACUUAAUUGUAAAUUUCAGAAGGCUGUGAAAAACAUAAAAGAAUGUAUGUAGAGAUUUUUACAACGAUGAAAGAACUGAUUUGUAUUAUAAAUUACACGUUUCUGAAUACCAUAAAAUAAACAUGGAACUUGGACUUUCUAGUACACGUAUAACGAAUGGUUUCAUUUGCAGAAUCCGUAAGUACGCAGUUAAGUUGAUUAAGAGCAGAGUCAACACAGGACUGCUUAUGCACACAGGGCCCAGUCAUAAGAGGAUACAAUUUCUCAAGCACAGUCUCCACUGGCUUAGAGAAUUGAGCUGUUUGUUACCAUGACAAUCGCCGGGGUUAAUGCAUCGUUUUCAACAAGAACCACAUCAAGCUAAGUCUUUGCUGCGCGUGGGUAGUCUUGUAUAUCGUCUACCUGCCCCCAGAAGCACACGAAUCAUCAACUCACAUUUUACCCGAUAUAUUACAGCAUUGAAGAAAGACAAUCACUUAAUCUUCCAUUGAUAUUAUACCAUAUUUAUAAAAAUAAUAUUCCAAAAGAUACUUUAGCUUGUAAUUGUAGUUACAAAAGUUGUUGGUAAAAAAUAACUGUAUCAAAGAAUUAGAUACAUUUUAAUUAUUCUUAGAAACACUAAAUCAAACUUACAAUAAAUAUUGUAUUUUCUUUCAUGCUUUUUAAAGUUAUUAAGAACUGAUUUCUGUUGAGUCAUGUGGUUUUAAAAAUGAUCGACUGAAUUAAAAUAAUACUGAUAAUUUUACUCGUAAAAAUGUAAUAUUUGU